AUGCCCCCUGGUCUACAGCUUGGACCGGUGCCCUGGGCCACUGCUGUGCAGGUGACACAGGAGCAGGGCAAGGUUGGCCACAGAGGAACUGCAUGGCUGUGUUCCAAUAAAACUUACUUUACAAAAACGGGUGAGGCCAGAUUUGGCUCAUGGGCCAUAGUCUGCCAACCCUGGUAUCACGGAAAGUUGAAGAUGCCAGGGAGGAAAGAUUUGAGAAGCAAAGGGGCUGUGGUCAAGGUGGUCCCGUAUUGCAUUCAGUUCCUAAACUCGCAGACCAUGUCAGCUGUCUCCCACAGCUGCCCUAAAUUCUGCCACCCUUCAGGGUUUCUGAUCUUCAAACCAACACUGAUCAGGGUGUCCUGGCAAAGCAGCCUGGCCUCACGACCUGCCCACAGUGCCUGGAGGGUGAAAGAGGCUGCAGCACCCUGUCCUCAAGCCAGAGACUCAGUAAAAACCAGUGAUAAGGCCAGUGGCUUCCACAUCAGCAGCCAGUCCCGCCAUGCUGGUGGUCAGUGAUGGGCUGGCUCCCAGAACAGCGCAGAGUAGACCCUUCAGACCCUCUGUGACUCCCUUUAAGACAGGUCCUCUCUCCCCUGCAAAUGAGUCUGCUUCUCCUCCCACGGGGUACUUAGUCCUGCAAAGAAUUAUGAUGGAGGUGAUUCGUCUCCGCCAGCUUGGGCUGUCACAGCACAACACGAUACGACGGCGCAGGCUGGGGUCAUUUCUCAUUGUCCUGGGGGCUGGGAGGCUUAGACUGGGGCAGCAGACCUGGCCCUGGUGAGAGCCCGCUUCCAGGUCUGCAGACGGUGGCCUUCUUCGUGGGUCCUCGUGGGGUGGACAGAGGCAGCUCUGGUCUCUUCCUUCUUGUUGACUGUUGUUGUUUAGUCGCUCAGUUCUGUCUGACUUUUGCAACCCCAUCAGGCUCCUCUCCCAUGGGAUUUCCCAGGCAAGACUACUGGAGUGGGUUGCCAUGUCCUUUUACAGGGAUCUUCCUGGAUUGGGAAUCGAACCCAUGUCUCCUGCAUUGGCAGGUGGAUUCUUUACCACUGAGCCACCAGGGAAGUCCCCUCUUCCUUCUUGUAAGGACACUAAUCCCAUGACUCUCAUGGCCUCAUCUCACCUUAAUCCUUUCCCCAGAGCCCCACCUCCACGACCAUCACUGUGAGGAUUAGGGCACCAACACAGGACUUUCGGAGGGGGCCACAAACAUCCCGUCUAUGGCAUUAUUAUUAAGCUCCCAUUUCUAUCUGUCCCAGGAGCUGUAUUGGGAAUGUAUUCCUUUCUUCUCUGCUUUUCAGAUGAGAGACGUUUCUGAGAGGUUAAACCACUUGUUCAAGGUUGUCUGUCCAUCUCAGAGCACAGACGAGCCAUCCACUCUAUGUAAACAAACGAGGAGAGCCUCGUCGUGUUUCUUCUCUGGAAAUAAAUUUUUUUGUUUUUUGUUUCUUG
rnacentral:lncRNA from 1 species